rnacentral:lncRNA from 1 species
CUUUGUACAUUUAUUGUUAUAUCAUAGUAAAACAAAAACAUUACUAAAUUUUCCUAAAAUUCUCUCCAUUCUUUAAAGUUUGAUAUUAAUAUUUUAUCUUUAUUUUAUAACAUAUUUUGAUUCAAUUUUUCAAGUUCUGCAUAAAGAUAAAUAAGUACUUAUGACGGUCCUCCAAAGCUCAUAACCAAAAAUUAUUGCAUUUAUUAUAUAUUGUGUAUUCAUUGAUAGCAAUCAUUAUAGAUUACAUUUAGACAGAUAGAUGAUUUUACCUUUUUAGGCUGAGAAUAAUAUCACAAAAUAAUAUUAUAGUUGAAUUAUAUGAAACAAUAGAUACUAUUAUUAAUCGAAGAACGAAAAAAUAAAAGAAAUUCGUAAUAAUCUACUAUCAUAAUUUGUAUCCUCUAUACCAUACUUAUUAACUAAGGUCGAUGUCCAUGAUAAACUGCAACUGCAUCAUUCUUGCUUAAUCAUAUCUCUUCAAUAUUUAUUCGAUUUAUUUCUAUCUCUCUUAAAUUCAUCUAUAACCAUAUCUCUCAACAUUCUUUGUUAGAUUUACCUCCAUCUAUCCUAAAUUCAUUUAUAACCAUCUCUCUCAUGCCUUCAUUCUGAUGCACCUCCAAAUCUCCUCUGUUCCAACUAUUUCACACCUUCAUUCUGAUGCACCUCCAAAUCUCCUUUGUUCCAACUAUUUCAAUCUCAUCUUUUGCAUCUUAUGUUUCACCGGAGUCUUGUCUUCAAUAUUUUAUCUUUUGAGGCCGAUUGACGAAGAUGAGAUGAUGAGCCAAAAUCAAGCAAAGCUGGUCCAAUAGUUUGCUAGUACUAGCGUUUACAAGAUUUCAUUGGACCGAAUAUGAAGAAAGGUAGUGACAGUUAAAUAUCUAGAUGGGCGUACUUUUCAAUGGGACGAUUUGGAAAAUUUUAUGGUGGAAGAGGUCCACUAUGUCAUAGUUGUGAGAGGGUGUUCAUUAUUUGACACAUGGCAUGGUGGACCCUAUCCAUUUAUUAUUACUUCCCUCAAUUCUUAUUUACCAUCAUUCUCUCUUUCCACCUUAUUUUCUUAAGUUUUCUCCACUCUAUUGAUUUAUUAAUUUCUUAAGUUUUCUUUAAUUUACUCCCUCAAUUUUUAAUAAUCAUCAUUAUUUUGUGUGAUUUUUUUAAAAAAAUAUUGGUUACAUUCUAAGUAGCCGUUUGGUCAUAAAAAUUAUUUUCAUUUUCGAAAAAUUAUUUCACUUUAGUGAGUAUUUUGCGGAAAUUUUGACUUUUGAAAGAGUCACCACUUAAUUUUGAAAAGGAAUUAAGAAACCUUUAGAAAGUUACUUAAAACGAUUCAAAAUAGGAAAAUCAUUUUAAGUUAGAGGUUCUGAGUAAGCGGUUCUUAUUAACGUUUUAGGAAGGUGUUAGGCACCUAAAAUGUCCGCUAACUUACGGUUAUCCGAACUGUUUGAAAACAACUUUCGAUUAACUUCUGAAAAGAUUAAUUUGUUGAAAUAGUGAUUUGAUUUUUUUUAAAGACUUGUGUAAAAUAGAUUUAGGCGACUUAGUAGGGAUUUAAACUAAGUCUAAACAAAACUAAUAAAAAAAUAAACACAUAAAAGGGGAAGGGAGGAGAAAGUAAAGGAUUUAAGCCAUUGAGCCCAAAUCAACUAGACCUUUCCUAGUUUAAUUGGGCUUCCGACCCAUUUCACCUGUCCUAAACUAUUUUCUGAGCCUUUGGUUCGAGUCUUGCUCCACAUGUAUAAAUUACAACUUCGGCUUCGGGGCCCAAAUGAAUGAAUAAUGAAAGAAAAAAGAGGAAAUAAACGAUAGUAAAAUGACAACAAUAGGUAGAUAAUGACAAUAAAUAAAGAAACAAAAAUGAGGCUUGGGCUUCGUCGUCGCUUUAAGUAUGGGAUUUUAACCCAUUAUUCCUCUUUUGACUUCUUGUAUCUGUAUGCCAUGAAAUUUGUUUUUCAAAGUCUCCUAAAGGAUGAGCCUCCAUGGCCUACAGCGAAAUACAAGGGGAAAAGUCCGUUUGGAGUCUCAAGCGGGUUCAUGCA